ACAACUCUAUCCUCAAUAACAUAAUUACAUAACUGUUCAAAACUCUACAUUACAUUCUUAUCAUUGUCAUGUCCACAAACUCUAACUAUUACAUACAUAUGACUUUUCUCUUCUUUGCUUCUCUAUCAAUCCCGUACCUGCAAACCUGGGGGUUAGGGGAGAGGGGUGAGCUAGAUGCCCAGUGAGUAGAACUAUAAAAAGAAUAUUUAAAACAUGCUAUAAUGGAAUGCAUCAUUGCACAAACAUUUCACAUCAUGGACGGACCGACCCAAAAAUCCCUCAGCUCCAUGCCCGGCCCUAUUAUGGGCACCACAGGACUUCGUAAAUCGGAGCCAUUGCCCGGCCCUAUUAUGGGCACCACAGGACUUCGUACACAGGACUAGUGAGUCGUGCAAUGUCCCUCCUCAUCAACCACAAUAUAAUAAUGCAAUGUAGCAUAUUCGUGAUUCUAAUGCAAACAUCCUAUAUUAUAGUCAUGAUGCAUGAAACAUGAUAAAAUAUUUACUUUCUUAAUUUAAAAAGAUUAAGUAUAGUUCCACUCACCUCUGGCUGACUCUGUCAAACUCUCAGCAGCUGGCUCACUGCUGGGGUCUUUGGUUCCUCGGG
rnacentral:lncRNA from 1 species